CAAGUCGAGCGAUGAAACUUUAACAGAACCCUUCGGGGCGAAGAUAAAGUGGAUUAGCGGCGGACGGGUGAGUAACACGUGAGUAACCUGCCUUAGACAUUGGGAUAGCCUCGGGAAACCGGGAUUAAUACCAAAUAAAAUCAUAAUGACACAUGUCAUAACGAUCAAAACUCCGGUGGUCUAAGAUGGACUCGCGUCCCAUUAGCUAGUUGGUAGAGUAAAAGCCUACCAAGGCGACGAUGGGUAGCCGGCCUGAGAGGGUGAACGGCCACAUUGGAACUGAGAAACGGUCCAAACUCCUACAGGAGGCAGCAGUGGGGAAUGUUGCACAAUGGAGGGAACUCUGAUGCAGCGACGCCGCGUGCACGAAGAAGGCCUUCGAGUCCCAAGCGUCCUCUAAAUGGGAAGAUAACGACCGGUACCAUAAAGAAAAAGCCCCGGCUAACUACGUGCCAGCAGCCGCGGUAAUACGUAGGGGGCUAGCGUUGUCCGGAAUCACUGGGCGUAAAGGGUUCGCAGGCGGGAAUGCAAGUCAGAUGUAAAAGGCAGUAGCUUAACUACUGUAAGCAUUUGAAACUGCAUAUCUUGAGAAGAGUAGAGGUAAGUGGAAUUUUUAGUGUAGCGGUGAAAUGCGUAGAUAUUAAAAAGAAUACCGGUGGCGAAG
rnacentral:rRNA from 2 species